rnacentral:rRNA from 1 species
GCCAGCAGCCGCGGUAACACCGGCGGCCCGAGUGGUGAUCGUGAUUAUUGGGUCUAAAGGGUCCGUAGCCGGUUUGGUCAGUCCUCCGGGAAAUCUGAUAGCUCAACUAUUAGGCUUUCGGGGGAUACUGCCAGACUUGGAACCGGGAGAGGUAAGAGGUACUACAGGGGUAGGAGUGAAAUCUUGUAAUCCCUGUGGGACCACCUGUGGCGAAGGCGUCUUACCAGAACGGGUUCGACGGUGAGGGACGAAAGCUGGGGGCACGAACCGGAUUAGAUACCCGGGUAGUCCCAGCCGUAAACGAUGCUCGCUAGGUGUCAGGCAUGGCGCGACCGUGUCUGGUGCCGCAGGGAAGCCGUGAAGCGAGCCACCUGGGAAGUACGGCCGCAAGGCUGAAACUUAAAGGAAUUGGCGGGGGAGCACAACAACGGGUGGAGCCCUGCGGUUUAAUUGGACUCAACGCCGGACAACUCACCGGGGGCGACAGCAAUAUGUAGGCCAAGCUGAAGACUUUGCCUGAAUCGCUGAGAAGAGGUGCAUGG